rnacentral:rRNA from 1 species
GAUGAACGCUGGCGGCGUGCUUAAUACAUGCAAGUCGAACGGAAAGGCCACUUUCGGGGGGUACUCGUGUGGCGAACGGGUGAGUAACACGUGCGUAACUUGCCUAUGUCUUUGGGAUAACUUCAGGCAACUGGGGCUAAUACCGGCUAGGUGAUCCUGUUGCACGGUGGGGGUUGGAAUGUUUCGGCGGCUGGGGGUGGGCUAGCGGUGUAUCCGCUUGUUGAUGGAAUAAUGGUUUACCAAGGCGUUGACGGGUAGCCGGACUGUGGGGGUGACCGGCGGCAUUGAGACUGAGGGACGGCCCAGGCACCUACGGGAGGCAACAGUGGGGAAUAUUGCACGAUGAGUGGAAGCCUGAUGCAGCAGCGCCGUGGGCGGGAAGACGGCCUUCUGAUUGUAAACCACUUGCGCUCGUAACGGAGCAUUGUGUGACGGUAGUGAAUAAGAAAGCACCGACUAACUACGUG